UUAGGCGUAAUGGUGCUCUCUUCACUCCUGUUGUAAAAGGAGGUGAUGGUAGGCCACGGCUGCUAGUUCAUGAAUACCCCUGGCUGCGCAGGAUUAAAGUAAUAAAGUUUGCGCAGGCUAAGGGUUUGCAUGACCUGGGAGACGUGGUUACCUUCUUCUUUUUUAUAUUGGAGUGAAGGGAGCUCUGUUGUCU
rnacentral:pre_miRNA from 1 species